rnacentral:rRNA from 1 species
UACGUAGGGGGCAAGCGUUUGUCCGGAUUUAUUGGGCGUAAAGAGCGUGUAGGCGGCUUUACAGGUCCGUUGUGAAAACUCGAGGCUCAACCUCGAGACGCCGGUGGAAACCGUAAGGCUAGAGUCCGGAAGAGGAGAGUGGAAUUCCUGGUGUAGCGGUGAAAUGCGCAGAUAUCAGGAGGAACACCCGUGGCGAAAGCGGCUCUCUGGGACGGU